rnacentral:rRNA from 1 species
UACGUAGGUGGCGAGCGUUAUCCGGAAUUAUUGGGCGUAAAGGGUGCGUAGGUGGUCUUUUAAGUGAGAUGUGAAAUCCCGGGGCUUAACCCCGGAACUGCAUUUCAAACUGGGAGACUAGAGUGCAGGAGAGGAAAGUGGAAUUCCUAGUGUAGCGGUGAAAUGCGUAGAGAUUAGGAGGAACACCAGUGGCGAAGGCGACUUUCUGGACUGUAACUGACACUGAGGCACGAAAGCGUGGGGAGCAAACAGG